CGGACGGGUGAGUAAUGUCUGGGAAACUGCCCGAUGGAGGGGGAUAACUACUGGAAACGGUAGCUAAUACCGCAUAACGUCACAAGACCAAAGAGGGGGACCUUCGGGCCUCUUGCCAUCGGAUGUGCCCAGAUGGGAUUAGCUAGUAGGUGGGGUAACGGCUCACCUAGGCGACGAUCCCUAGCUGGUCUGAGAGGAUGAUCAGCCACACUGGGACUGAGACACGGUCCAG
rnacentral:rRNA from 1 species